UACGGAGGAUGCAAGCGUUAUCCGGAAUGAUUGGGCGUAAAGCGUCCGCAGGUGGCUGUGUAAGUCUGCUGUUAAAGAGUGAGGCUCAACCUCAUAAAAGCAGUGGAAACUACACGGCUAGAGUGCGUUCGGGGCAGAGGGAAUUCCUGGUGUAGCGGUGAAAUGCGUAGAUAUCAGGAAGAACACCCGUGGCGAAGGCGGCUCUCUGGGACGGUACUGACGCUGAGACGCGAAAGCGUGGGGAGCGAACAGG
rnacentral:rRNA from 1 species